UACGGAGGGUGCGAGCGUUGUUCGGAAUCACUGGGCGUAAAGCGCGUGUAGGCGGCCCACUAAGUCUGAUGUGAAAGCCCGGGGCUCACCCCCGGAAGUGCAUUGGAAACUGGUGGACUCGAGUCUCGGAGAGGAGAGUGGAAUUCCUGGUGUAGCGGUGAAAUGCGUAGAUAUCAGGAGGAACACCGGUGGGCGAAGGCGGGUCUC
rnacentral:rRNA from 1 species